rnacentral:rRNA from 1 species
AGAGUUUGAUCAUGGCUCAGAUUGAACGCUGGCGGCAGGCCUAACACAUGCAAGUCGAACGGUAACAGGAAGCAGCUUGCUGCUUCGCUGACGAGUGGCGGACGGGUGAGUAAUGUCUGGGAAGCUGCCUGAUGGAGGGGGAUAACUACUGGAAACGGUAGCUAAUACCGCAUAAUGUCGCAAGACCAAAGAGGGGGACCUUCGGGCUUCUUGCCAUCGGAUGUGCCCAGAUGGGAUUAGCUUGUUGGUGGGGUAACGGCUCACCAAGGCGACGAUCCCUAGCUGGUCUGAGAGGAUGACCAGCCACACUGGAACUGAGACACGGUCCAGACUCCUACGGGAGGCAGCAGUGGGGAAUAUUGCACAAUGGGCGCAAGCCUGAUGCAGCCAUGCCGCGUGUAUGAAGAAGGCCUUCGGGUUGUAAAGUACUUUCGGCGGGGAGGAAGGGAGUAAAGUUAAUACCUUUGCUCAUUGACGUUACCCGCAGAAGAAGCACCGGCUAACUCCGUGCCAGCAGCCGCGGUAAUACGGAGGGUGCAAGCGUUAAUCGGAAUUACUGGGCGUAAAGCGCACGCAGGCGGUUUGUUAAGUCAGAUGUGAAAUCCCCGGGCUCAACCUGGGAACUGCAUCUGAUACUGGCAAGCUUGAGUCUCGUAGAGGGGGGUAGAAUUCCAGGUGUAGCGGUGAAAUGCGUAGAGAUCUGGAGGAAUACCGGUGGCGAAGGCGGCCCCCUGGACGAAGACUGACGCUCAGGUGCGAAAGCGUGGGGAGCAAACAGGAUUAGAUACCCUGGUAGUCCACGCCGUAAACGAUGUCGACUUGGAGGUUGUGCCCUUGAGGCGUGGCUUCCGGAGCUAACGCGUUAAGUCGACCGCCUGGGGAGUACGGCCGCAAGGUUAAAACUCAAAUGAAUUGACGGGGGCCCGCACAAGCGGUGGAGCAUGUGGUUUAAUUCGAUGCAACGCGAAGAACCUUACCUGGUCUUGACAUCCACGGAAGUUUUCAGAGAUGAGAAUGUGCCUUCGGGAACCGUGAGACAGGUGCUGCAUGGCUGUCGUCAGCUCGUGUUGUGAAAUGUUGGGUUAAGUCCCGCAACGAGCGCAACCCUUAUCCUUUGUUGCCAGCGGUCCGGCCGGGAACUCAAAGGAGACUGCCAGUGAUAAACUGGAGGAAGGUGGGGAUGACGUCAAGUCAUCAUGGCCCUUACGACCAGGGCUACACACGUGCUACAAUGGCGCAUACAAAGAGAAGCGACCUCGCGAGAGCAAGCGGACCUCAUAAAGUGCGUCGUAGUCCGGAUUGGAGUCUGCAACUCGACUCCAUGAAGUCGGAAUCGCUAGUAAUCGUGGAUCAGAAUGCCACGGUGAAUACGUUCCCGGGCCUUGUACACACCGCCCGUCACACCAUGGGAGUGGGUUGCAAAAGAAGUAGGUAGCUUAACCUUCGGGAGGGCGCUUACCACUUUGUGAUUCAUGACUGGGGUGAAGUCGGAACAAGGUAACCGUAGGGGAACCUGCGGUUG